UAGCGUCUUCAGGGCGGGGCGAAAUUCCCCACCGGCGGUAGGUUGAAGGGUUCAUCCCCGGCAACGAGCCCGCGAGCGCCUUGGUCCGGAGCGGGCCAGGGGUCAGCAGAUCCGGUCAGAUACCGGAGCCGACGGUUGGAAGCUGGCGACAGUUUCCUCACAGUCCGGAUAAAGAGAAGACGGUC
rnacentral:ncRNA from 2 species